rnacentral:rRNA from 1 species
AUUGAACGCUGGCGGCAGGCCUAACACAUGCAAGUCGAACGGUAACAGGAAACAGCUUGCUGUUUCGCUGAUGAGUGGCGGACGGGUGAGUAAUGUCUGGGAAACUGCCUGAUGGAGGGGGAUAACUACUGGGAACGGUAGCUAAUACCGCAUAACGUCGCAAGACCAAAGAGGGGGACCUUCGGGCCUCUUGCCAUCGGAUGUGCCCAGAUGGGAUUAGCUAGUAGGUGGGGUAACGGCUCACCUAGGCGACGAUCCCUAGCUGGUCUGAGAGGAUGACCAGCCACACUGGAACUGAGACACGGUCCAGACUCCUACGGGAGGCAGCAGUGGGGAAUAUUGCACAAUGGGCGCAAGCCUGAUGCAGCCAUGCCGCGUGUAUGAAGAAGGCCUUCGGGUUGUAAAGUACUUUCAGCGGGGAGGAAGGGAGUAAAGUUAAUACCUUUACUCAUUGACGUUACCCGCAGAAGAAGCACCGGCUAACUCCGUG